UACGGGGGGAGCAAGCGUUGUUCGGAUUUACUGGGCGUAAAGGGCGCGUAGGCGGCCAGCACAAGUCAGUUGUGAAAUCUCCGGGCUUAACUCGGAAAGGUCAACUGAUACUGUGCGGCUAGAGUGCAGAAGGGGCAACUGGAAUUCUCGGUGUAGCGGUGAAAUGCGUAGAUAUCGGGAGGAACAUCAGUGGCGAAGGCGGCCCUCUGGUCCAGUACUGACACUCAAGUGCGAAAGCGUGGGGAGCAAACAGG
rnacentral:rRNA from 1 species